GUGCUCGCUUUGGCAGCACGUAUACUAAAAUUGGAACAGUGCAGAGCAGAUUAACAAGGCCCUCUGUAAGGAUGACACGCAGAUGCAUGAAGCGUUCCCUAUUUUU
ensembl:snRNA U6 U6 spliceosomal RNA